rnacentral:rRNA from 1 species
AAUAGAUACCCGGGUAGUCCACGCCCUAAACGAUGUCUACUAGUUGUCGGGUCUUCAUUGACUUGGUAACGCAGCUAACGCGUGAAGUAGACCGCCUGGGGAGUACGGUCGCAAGACUAAAACCCAAAGGAAUUGACGGGGACCCGCACAAGCAGCGGAGCGUGUGGUUUAAUUCGAUGCAACGCGAAGCACCUUACCAGGGCUUGACAUGCAGUCGCACCGUCCAGAGAUGGGCGUGCCCGCAAGGGACGGCUGCACAGGUGCUGCAUGGCUGUCGUCAGCUCGUGUCGUGAGAUGUUGGGUUAAGUCCCGCAACGAGCGCAACCCUUGUCAUUAGUUGCUACGAAAGGGCACUCUAAUGAGACUGCCGGUGACAAACCGGAGGAAGGUGGGGAUGACGUCAAGUCCUCAUGGCCCUUAUGGGUAGGGCUUCACACGUCAUACAAUGGUACAUACAGAGGGCUGCCAACCCGCGAGGGGGAGCUAAUCCCAGAAAGUGUAUCGUAGUCCGGAUUGGAAU